rnacentral:rRNA from 1 species
GUGGGGAAUUUUGCGCAAUGGGCGAAAGCCUGACGCAGCAACGCCGCGUGAGUGAAGAAGGCCUUUGGGUCGUAAAGCUCUUUUCCAGGGGACGAGGCUGACGGUACCUUGGGAAUAAGCACCGGCUAACUCCGUGCCAGCAGCCGCGGUAAUACGGAGGGUGCAAGCGUUGUUCGGAUUUACUGGGCGUAAAGGGCGUGUAGGCGGAUCGGCAAGUCGGGGGUGAAAUCCCUGGGCUCAACCCGGGACGUGCUUUCGAAACUACCGAUCUUGAGUAAGGCAGAGGCAGGUGGAAUUCCAGGUGUAGAGGUGAAAUUCGUAGAGAUCUGGAGGAACACCGGCGGCGAAGGCGGCCUGCUGGGCCUUAACUGACGCUGAGGCGCGAAAGCGUGGGGAGCAAACAGGAUUAGAUACCCGAGUAGUCC